rnacentral:rRNA from 1 species
UACGAAGGGGGCUAGCGUUGCUCGGAAUUACUGGGCGUAAAGCGCGCGUAGGCGGAUCGUUAAGUCGGGGGUGAAAUCCUUGGAGCUCAACUCCAGAACUGCCUUCGAUACUGGCGAUCUUGAGUCCGGGAGAGGUGAGUGGAAUUCCCAGUGUAGAGGUGAAAUUCGUAGAUAUUGGGAAGAACACCGGUGGCGAAGGCGGCCAACUGGACCAUUCUGACGCUGAGGCGCGAAAGCGUGGGGAGCAAACAGG